CAUUUUGUAGGUAAAAAAUUUGAGAACUUCUUUAAGGUUUUAUGUAUUAAUCAUACAUGUUUUCAAGAUAUAUGUUAUCAAGAGAUGCCUAAUUUUUUUAUUUUUAAUUUUGGCAGUGAGUUUUGGUGUUGCUGCUUCUGGCACAUAGUCUGAAGAGAAAUAUAGACCAGUUUUCUGGAUAUGUCUGGGUUGAAAUCAGGAGGAAAAAUAGAGGACAAAAGUUAAGGAGAAACUUGACAAAUGUGUUAAAAAAAUAUUGUUGGAUUUUUGUGAUAUCCUCAAUAUUCCAGUAAACAAAACCACCGCAAAGAAGGAAGAAAUUUCAGUAAAUUUACUGGAGUUCUUGGAAUCUCCUCAAGCUACAACUGACACUUCGCUUGUUGACAAGGACUAGGUAAGACACUUUUGAUUUCCUUUACCUUUUUUUUAUUGGCUUAUAUUAAUCUUUAUUUUUUUUAUUUAUUCUUGUGUCUUGUAUACUUGAUGGCAUUAAAAUGUUCAUAUAGUCAGCUAGGUGUGUGGUCUUGUUGAAAUUUGUUAUUUUCCGGCAAGGUUUAUUACUGAAAUUGGAUAUUACAUCUCUUUUUUGUCAAUACUAAGAAAUUCUUGUUUUGAUUUGAUUUCUUUGUCAGUUUUAUUGUAUUUUUCUGCUUUUUUAGUAGUAAGUUAGCCAACUAUUUUAAUUGCUAAUUUUGUGAUAUACUUUAACGAUACCCGUUUAGAUAUCUGAAAGGAGAAUGUUUAAAUUGUUUAAAAAUUUGU